UCAUUUGACGUUAGCUGCAGAAGAAGCACCGGCUAACUCCGUGCCAGCAGCCGCGGUAAUACGGAGGGUGCGAGCGUUAAUCGGAAUUACUGGGCGUAAAGCGCAUGCAGGUGGUUUGUUAAGUCAGAUGUGAAAGCCCGGGGCUCAACCUCGGAAUUGCAUUUGAAACUGGCAGACUAGAGUACUGUAGAGGGGGGUAGAAUUUCAGGUGUAGCGGUGAAAUGCGUAGAGAUCUGAAGGAAUACCGGUGGCGAAGGCGGCCCCCUGGACAGAUACUGACACUCAGAUGCGAAAGCGUGGGGAGCAAACAGGAUUAGAUACCCUGGUAGUCCACGCCGUAAACGAUGUCUACUUGGAGGUUGUGGCCUUGAGCCGUGGCUUUCGGAGCUAACGCGUUAAGUAGACCGCCUGGGGAGUACGGUCGCAAGAUUAAAACUCAAAUGAAUUGACGGGGGCCCGCACAAGCGGUGGAGCAUGUGGUUUAAUUCGAUGCAACGCGAAGAACCUUACCUACUCUUGACAUCC
rnacentral:rRNA from 1 species